AUGAACGCUGGCGGCGUGCCUAAUCCAUGCCAGUCGCGCGAACAGACGAGGAGCUUGCUCCUCUGACGUUAGCGGCGGACGGGUGAGUAACACGUGGAUAACCUACCUAUAAGACUGGGAUAACUUCGGGAAACCGGAGCUAAUACCGGAUAAUAUAUUGAACCGCUUGGUUCAAUAGUGAAAGACGGUUUUGCUGUCACUUAUAGAUGGAUCCGCGCCGCAUUAGCUAGUUGGUAAGGUAACGGCUUACCAAGGCAACGAUGCGUAGCCGACCUGAGAGGGUGAUCGGCCACACUGGAACUGAGACACGGUCCAGACUCCUACGGGAGGCAGCAGUAGGGAAUCUUCCGCAAUGGGCGAAAGCCUGACGGAGCAACGCCGCGUGAGUGAUGAAGGUCUUCGGAUCGUAAAACUCUGUUAUUAGGGAAGAACAAAUGUGUAAGUAACUAUGCACGUCUUGACGGUACCUAAUCAGAAAGCCACGGCUAACUACGUG
rnacentral:rRNA from 1 species